ACAGUUGAUUAACGACAGUUCAGUGGGUAAAAUGUACAUACAAGGAACCCUUAAAGUCCAUUGACACUUCUUUCAUAUGCAAAUCUCACAAUUAAAAACCGGUAGGUAUGUAAAGCAGGAUUUACUAAGAAGAUGUAGCUGAAAAGGUGCUCUUCUGACCUUUUGUUCAUUACAACCGCAAGCUGUAGUAUUAUGUUGUUGCUAACGUAUCCUCCCUGUUUCUAUUAUCGGUAGAUGUGAUGGUUUAGUUUAUUGGCAAUGUGGCUAACGUUAUUUCAUGUCCCUGACUGUGUUUCAUUCAAAUAAAUAACACGUGUUUCUUUACAGCCCAACCAAUGUUACAUACCCUAUUCGGAGACCGUAAGGAACCGUGUGAAAUACCCCCAAAAAGUCAAUGACCCCUUUUAAAAACAGAAGUGAAGUUAAUGUUUUCUGACUUCUUAGGUUCCCAGUUCUGGAAACAGAACUCAAGAAAAAUAUAUGCUGUGCCCGAAAGUGACUUUGUGGAGUUUCAGAAUGGGAGAAGAGCUAAAACAAGUCGGAGGGAUGGAGAUUCAAGCCUGCAGGAGGUCCUUGGACGUGUUGACCAGCUGAAGCAAGCCGCCGGGAGUCUCCAAGAGGUCACUAAUUCAAUCAACCAGCCGUCUCAGCUGGCCAAGUCUCAAAAGGAGGAGAUCAUGGCAAAUGUCGGUUUGCAGCCCUUAAAGGAAGCCUUUGCAUGUCUUGUGUGUAAAGCUGUAAUGGCAGAUCCCAUGUUCGCCACAUGCUGUGAAUCGAUAAUUGGAUGUCGUACCUGUGUGGAGCUGUGGUAAGUCACAUCAGACCACUGCUUGAAAUGCAGGGCAGGAGACUUUGAAAAUAAAAUACAUGAAGUGAAGGGUCUCUCUGCUGCCUUGUCACUUUUCAAGGAGAGAAUAAUUGAAUAGAUUUGAUUUGAUAGAUAAUUGUUUGUUAUGUUUACAUUACUGGAACUACCUCAGUUUGUUUGUUGGAUGUUAUUAUGUGUACAUGACCAGAAAGAUGUUGUUUGUUGUAAUGUUUAUAUUGUGUGCGACCGUUU